CGCACGGGAAAUUGAUACCUUUUUUCAGAAAGCGGUAUCACCCCGAUACCGCUUUCUGAAAAAAGGUAUCAAUUUCCCGUGCGUAAUACA
rnacentral:miRNA from 1 species